AUUGAACGCUGGCGGAAUGCUUUACACAUGCAAGUCGAGCGGCAGCGCGGGGCAACCUGGCGGCGAGCGGCGAACGGGUGAGUAAUACAUCGGAACGUGCCCAGACGUGGGGGGAUAACUACUCGAAAGAGUGGCUAAUACCGCAUACGAUCUAAGGAUGAAAGCGGGGGAUCGCAAGACCUCGCGCGUUUGGAGCGGCCGAUGGCAGAUUAGGUAGUUGGUGGGGUAAAGGCUUACCAAGCCCGCGAUCUGUAGCUGGUCUGAGAGGAUGAUCAGCCACACUGGGACUGAGACACGGCCCAGACUCCUACGGGAGGCAGCAGUGGGGAAUUUUGGGACAAUGGGCGAAAGCCUGAUCCAGCCAUUCCGCGUGCAGGAUGAAGGCCCUCGGGUUGUAAACUGCUUUUGUACAGAACGAAAAAGCUCUUUCUAAUACAGAGAGUCCAUGACGGUACUGUAAGAAUAAGCACCGGCUAACUACGUGCCAGCAGCCGCGUAAU
rnacentral:rRNA from 1 species